rnacentral:tRNA from 5 species
AGAAACUUAGGAUAGUCCCCAAACCGAAGGCCUUCAAAGCCUUAAACAAGAGUUGAACCCUCUUAGUUUCUG